rnacentral:pre_miRNA from 14 species
AUAUGCAUUACAGGGCAAGAUCACCAUUGGCAGAGAUCUAUUACUUCAUUCUUGCAUCAUAUGCAUAAAUGUUUGUGGUGAGCUCUCUGCCAAAGGAGAUUUGCCCGGUAAUUCUCUU